UGGCGACCGGCGCACGGGUGAGUAACACGUAUCCAACCUGCCGAUGACUCGGGGAUAGCCUUCCGAAAGAAAGAUUAAUACCCGAUGGCAUAGUUCUUCCGCAUGGUAGAACUAUUAAAGAAUUUCGGUCAUCGAUGGGGAUGCGUUCCAUUAGCUUGUUGGCGGGGUAACGGCCCACCAAGGCAUCGAUGGAUAGGGGUUCUGAGAGGAAGGUCCCCCACAUUGGAACUGAGACACGGUCCAAACUCCUACGGAAGGCAGCAG
rnacentral:rRNA from 1 species